CGUCCGCGCGCCUAGACGUGCAGUCCUCCGAGCUCUGGUCCGGGGCAGCUGUUUCUCAGAAGGAGGCCUGCGCUCGCUCUUGGAACAGGAGAGGGAAAGGGAGGAAGACCUCGGACUUGGAGGAAGCUGAAGCAGAGAUAGACCUCUCUGAAUUCCUAAUGAAGUCUGAGAUGGCAGAGUUUUAAAAGCAGAAGAUGAGACCAGGUCCAGGACUCAAGUUGUCUGAAGGGGAGAGUGGGCCCCUUUUUUGAGAGGGGCUGAAGAGAAGACAGCCGGAGGGACCUGAAAAUGCUUGAGAGAUGAAUGCUGCUGCAGAAUUACCAGUGAGGAGGUCUAGGAGGCCUACGCGUCAACAGAGUUCAGAGUGCAGUGGUGAAGGUGACUCAAGCAGCUCAUGGACUUGACUGGUUCUGGAGAUUCCAUGCAUGAGGAGCACCUCUGUUGCUCACAGUGGCCAACUAAUCCAGUUGGAGAUGAUUCAGGCUUUGCAUGCUCAACAGUAAGUCAACCCCAAACCAGCAAGUGGUUGUCUGCCCUUCUGCCUCUCUUCCU